GUUCGCCGCCGCUCGCCCCUGCCGCUCCAUCCCUUCGCCGCCUAACCCUUGCAUCCCCCAACCCUCGACUACCUGUCCCAACUCUCCUCCCUGCGCCGCCGUGGGUCUCGGCCUCCCUCCUCCCUGCGCCGCCGCGGGUCUCGGCCUCCCUCCUCCCUUCGUCCAGGCAAAGAGAGGGCUGGCCUUGGCGCCUUGCCACUUUGAUGGCAAUCUGCCUUAUGAUCCGCCGCCGAUCCCGAUCCGCCGCCGAUCCCGAUCUCGCAUCGGAGGAUUUGAUUGACUUCUCCUCUCCUCUCUUCCACCUCUCUUCGUCGUCGGAUCCCCGCGACACAUGCCCAGAUACGUCCGCAAACCGCCGGCGACGAGGUGUAUGGUGCCGACAUGGCCGUGCUCGAGCGCCUCCAGGACCCCGCAGAGGAGAAUCAAGGCGUGGGGCCUCCUGGACUCCGUCCUUCGCCGCUUUGUCGACGACGUCCCUGCCGCCGGGCAAGAAGGUACUCGAUGACGUACUCGAUGCCCACCUGCAAGGUCAGCCCCCCAUCCUCCCGGUCCUUCCCAGCAAAUAGAUCUGGUAAAAUUUGAAUAAUGAUCUGGACUUCAACGAUUAAUUAAUCUCCUGGUCUCUAAUGGGAACUUUUUUGUUACUGAACUUCGUAGUUGGUUUGCAUAAAAUCUGAAGUUUGUCUAACAUAUUUUACUUGAACACAGUUCGCUUCAGAAUUCUAUUUUAUGUGAGCAUUACUUUCUUGGGGUAUCUGAUUUACUUGGAGGAGUAUUUAAUUACACGUAUGUGUAGUACAAGUUGUUAUUUCGCAAUAAUUUUGAUGGCCUCUAAGCAUCAUUGUUCAUGUCUAUUAUUAUUUAUGAAAGCUACAUGUCUUGGAGGGAAGUUGCGACUUGAGGGAGUGAGCUCCCAUUCUCUCAAUUUCUUGGCAUGGCCAUGCUUGCAGUACUGAUAAGGCAUGCUUCAAAAAUGGAGGGAGGACCUGAGCUGCCGCCUUGGUUCCUGUCCGCACCAGCCGCCACAGUAUGUAAUCAGGCCUCCACUAUCGUCCUCUGAAUUUUGGAUUACAUGCAUCUACAAGAGCGUGAGAGUUUGAGAGGGUAGCACAGUGCUACAUAGAAGUUAAUUUUUCUCCAUGAAGUUGAUAUGAUGCGAAGCUGCUGCCAGAUUGAAGGUUAAUUGAGUUCUCAUCUCCAAAAUGUUUGCAUUCUAAGUAUCCUCUUUGAUUCAGCGGUUCCAUGAUGCUACAGUUCACUUUGUUUUUCACCUCUUGAUGCUGCUAUACACAGAAGGUGUUUGCUAAUUUGCACAUUAAAAUUUUUAAGUUUAUCUGCACAUAUUGAUAUUAGCUUGAAUUUUGAACAAGAAAUAGUUUCUUAAUACGUACUUUUGAAUUUUAUGCACUUGUAUGUACACUGCUACUAACGGUGCUCUUGAUCAUGUCAUACACGAGUACUAAUGGUGCAUGCCUUAAUAUUGGAAUGGAAUGAAUACCAGCUUAUGUAGAGAAGCGAGGCCUUUUCGUAUUUGAGGAAGAAUGUCAUGCAACCAUUCAAGAAGAAUAGGAUGGGUAUUCCAGUAAUCCUAUGGAUUAGUCUCUAUAGUUGUUGGCGGCCUAUAAAGCAGAGGUAUCUAUGACUAAAUAAAUAAAAAUUGAUGACUUACUAUUUUACAAUAUUAGUUUCGACUAUAGUGUUGCUGACUAAAUCAUGCUACCUCUCAUUAUUGCGGCGUCUCGCUAGCAGGGUAUUCCCAUUUAGAUUAUGUUUGCCCUUUCGAUCACCGGCGCGGCUGUAGCAGUCUAUGUAGGCGUCGGCGGCAGUAGGGGGGAGGGGACAUCGGAGCCGUCGGUGAUAUUGGAGGAAUCAAUCUAGCCGACCAUCCUUUGAAUGACACAGUUUUGCUACCUCCCACUGAUAACCUUUAGGAGCUAUGGAGAGGAGGGUUAGGAGGGAAGCGAGCCAGCGGCGUGAAGAGAAAAUGUUAGGGUCACAAUAGCAAACGAGUUCAUCUUGCCUGGGUUGCGCUGAUAAGAAAGAAGAUAGAGCUUCAGGUGAGGCAUGUCGUCCCUAGGAAUUUGUUGGUAUCGAGGAUUGUUCCAGGAAGCACUUCUGAUGACAACAUGAUGUUGGGCCUCGGGGACAUGGUAACCAACAGAAACAUAUUGAAGCACAUUGUUGUCAUCAUCCACUUAGUGCCCGUAGGGUCACGCUCAGCAGCAACGGUGCACGGCGAUGGGAAAGACGCAGGGGUGACGGGAUCAUCACCAGUGGGGCCGUCGGGGAGAAGAUGGAGGCAGAUAAGAAAGGAACGGGCUCGGUUGGGUGUGAAAAGGAGAAUGAGAGAGAUAGCGAUGAUGUGGUGCUGCACCACUGCUCUCCUACUGCUAGCUGAAUUUUGGUAUUGUUGCUGCUAUCUGAAUUUCGCACACACACGGCGAGGUGUUUGAUGCUGGCCGACGUCGCG
rnacentral:rRNA from 1 species